rnacentral:rRNA from 1 species
AUUGAACGCUGGCGGCAGGCUUAACACAUGCAAGUCGAGCGAGCGGCGGACGGGUGAGUAAUGUCUGGGGAACUGCCUGAUGGAGGGGGAUAACUACUGGAAACGGUAGCUAAUACCGCAUACCAUCGGAUGUGCCCAGAUGGGAUUAGCUAGUAGGUGGGGUAAAGGCUCACCUAGGCGACGAUCCCUAGCUGGUCUGAGAGGAUGACCAGCCACACGGGGACUGAGACACGGUCCAGACGCCUACGGGAGGCAGCAGUGGGGAAUAUUGCACAAGGGGCGCAAGCCUGAUGCAGCCAUGCCGCGUGUAUGAAGAAGGCCUUCGGGUUGUAAAGUACUUUCAGUGGGGAGGCGUUACCGGCAGAAGAAGCACCGGCUAACUCCGUGCCAGCAGCCGCGGUAAUUC